rnacentral:tRNA from 5 species
GCGCGCAUAGCUCAGCUGGUAGAGCAGUUGCCUCUUAAGCAAACGGUCCCAGGUUCGAGCCCUGGUGCGCGCACAA